rfam:Pseudomonas putida CSV86 contig00126, whole genome shotgun sequence.
CGUCUUGGCCGCUGCGCAGGCGAGGCGUGAUGGCCUGCAGGGGUUCCAUUCCUCCGGUUUUCCACCGCCUGGGCAGUGGCCACCUUU